rnacentral:rRNA from 1 species
UUCCGCAAUGGACGAAAGUCUGACGGAGCAACGCCGCGUGAGUGAUGACGGCCUUCGGGUUGUAAAGCUCUGUUAAUCGGGACGAAAGGCCUUCUUGCGAACAGUUAGAAGGAUUGACGGUACCGGAAUAGAAAGCCACGGCUAACUACGUGCCAGCAGCCGCGGUAAUACGUAGGUUGGCAAGCGUUGUCCGGAAUUAUUGGGCGUAAAGCGCGCGCAGGCGGAUCAGUCAGUCUGUCUUAAAAGUUCGGGGCUUAACCCCGUGAUGGGAUGGAAACUGCUGAUCUAGAGUAUCGGAGAGGAAAGUGGAAUUCCUAGUGUAGCGGUGAAAUGCGUAGAUAUUAGGAAGAACACCAGUGGCGAAGGCGACUUUCUGGACGAAAACUGACGCUGAGGCGCGAAAGCCAGGGGAGCGAACGGGAUUAGAUACCCCGGUAGUCCUGGCCGUAAACGAUGGGUACUAGGUGUAGGAGGUAUCGACCCCUUCUGUGCCGGAGUUAACGCCAUAAGUACCCGCCUGGGGAGUACGACCGCAAGGCUGAAACUCAAAGGAAUUGACGGGGGCCCGCACAAGCGGUGGAGUAUGUGGUUUAAUUCGACGC